ACUCCUACGGGAGGCAGCAGUGGGGAAUAUUGCACAAUGGGGGAAACCCUGAUGCAGCCAUGCCGCGUGUGUGAAGAAGGCCUCGGUUGUAAAGCACUUUCAGUAGGGAGGAAGGUAGCGUAGUUAACACCUGCAUUAUUUGACGUUACCUACAGAAGAAGCACCGGCUAACUCCGUGCCAGCAGCCGCGGUAAUACGGAGGGUGCGAGCGUUAAUCGGAAUUACUGGGCGUAAAGCGCAUGCAGGCGGCUUGUUAAGUCAGAUGUGAAAGCCCGGGGCUUAACCUCGGAAUUGCAUUUGAAACUGGCAGGCUAGAGUCUUGUAGAGGGGUUAGAAUUUCAGGUGUAGCGGUGAAAUGCGUAGAGAUCUGAAGGAAUACCAGUGGCGAAGGCGGCCCCUGGACAAAGACUGACGCUCAGAUGCGAAAGCGUGGGAGCAAACAGGAUUAGAUACCCCUGGUAGCGACUGA
rnacentral:rRNA from 1 species